AACAUCUUUUCAUGUGAUUGUGAUUGUUGGUAUUUCUAUUUCUAUUCCUGUGGAUUUGUAAUGUGAAUAUAUUUUUAAUUUGUAGCCCCAGUGAAUCCUCAGUGAGUGAGUGGAGCCUCAGUGAAUUUCUGCCAAGUUUUCUUAGUGGCUGCAAAGGAUUCUUAAAACAAAUGGCAUGCCCCAUUGCCACUGCUGACCAGUACUCCAGAAUCAGAACAACACAGCCUCGUUCAGAAAAAGUUAUCAGAUAGGAGAGCAGAGCGGGGGGAGAGAGAACAAGAACAAUAGAGAAAGCCUAGAGAGAGACAAGUGGUGAAGUUUGAAUUCCUGAGUGGUGUAAUUUUGAAUUUCAUACCUACUAAAAAGAGGUGCCCUGGUCCAUCAAUGAGAGAGAAUGUAGCAGUUCCAGGAUUUGCUGUGGUCCUCGUGAGCGCUCUCCACCCAGGCAGUGGCCGUGAAGAGUUAGAGUGGAGAAGCCGUGGUAGCAUCAUAGCUCUGCACUGGAUCGGCAACCAGGAUUACACAGCUGGCAGACGGACUCGGUCACCACACUCUCGCGCCUCGCCUGUACAAACUGUGAGUGAAACAUGACAGGAAGGACUGCAGAGUGCGAAAGUGGAGAAACCAGAUAGAGAAAUCCAGUCUCCGUACCUCAUCGCCAUCCUUCAGAGAGGGC
rnacentral:lncRNA from 1 species